rnacentral:rRNA from 1 species
AGAGUUUGAUCCUGGCUCAGAUUGAACGCUGGCGACAGGCCUAACACAUGCAAGUCGAACGGUAACAGGAAGCAGCUUGCUGCUUCGCUGACGAGUGGCGGACGGGUGAGUAAUGUCUGGGAAGCUGCCUGAUGGAGGGGGAUAACUACUGGAAACGGUAGCUAAUACCGCAUAAUGUCGCAAGACCAAAGAGGGGGACCUUCGGGCCUCUUGCCAUCGGAUGUGCCCAGAUGGGAUUAGCUUGUUGGUGGGGUAACGGCUCACCAAGGCGACGAUCCCUAGCUGGUCUGAGAGGAUGACCAGCCACACUGGAACUGAGACACGGUCCAGACUCCUACGGGAGGCAGCAGUGGGGAAUAUUGCACAAUGGGCGCAAGCCUGAUGCAGCCAUGCCGCGUGUAUGAAGAAGGCCUUCGGGUUGUAAAGUACUUUCAGCGGGGAGGAAGGGAGUAAAGUUAAUACCUUUGCUCAUUGACGUUACCCGCAGAAGAAGCACCGGCUAACUCCGUGCCAGCAGCCGCGGUAAUACGGAGGGUGCAAGCGUUAAUCGGAAUUACUGGGCGUAAAGCGCACGCAGGCGGUUUGUUAAGUCAGAUGUGAAAUCCCCGGGCUCAACCUGGGAACUGCAUCUGAUACUGGCAAGCUUGAGUCUCGUAGAGGGGGGUAGAAUUCCAGGUGUAGCGGUGAAAUGCGUAGA